rnacentral:rRNA from 1 species
GUCCCCCUAUUUUUAGUUGGUUUUCCCCCCCCCCCCUAUAGGGGAUGAUUAAUAGGGAUAGUUGGGGGCAUUAAUAUUUAAUUGUCAGAGGUGAAAUUCUUGGAUUUAUGAAAGAUUAACUUCUGCGAAAGCAUCUGCCAAGGAUGUUUUCAUUAAUCAAGAACGAAAGUUAGGGGAUCGAAGACGAUCAGAUACCGUCGUAGUCUUAACCAUAAACGAUGCCGACCAGCGAUUAGGAGACGUUGAAUACAAAACACCACCAUCGGCGCGGUCGUCCUUGGCGUCUGUCCCUUUCAACGGGGGCGGGCGCGAGGGCGGUUUAGCCC